rnacentral:rRNA from 1 species
GUCCACGCCGUAAACGAUGAUUACUAGCUGUUUGUGAUAUUACAAUAAGCGGCUAAGCGAAAGCGAUAAGUAAUCCACCUGGGGAGUACGCCGGCAACGGUGAAACUCAAAGGAAUUGACGGGGCCCGCACAAGCGGAGGAACAUGUGGUUUAAUUCGAUGAUACGCGAGGAACCUUACCCGGGCUUGAAAUGCAUCUGACCGCUUAAGAAAUUAGGCUUCUAGCAAUAGCAGAUGUGUAGGUGCUGCAUGGUUGUCGU